AGUGAACGCUGGCGGUAGGCCUAACACAUGCAAGUCGAACGGCAGCACAGUAAGAGCUUGCUCUUACGGGUGGCGAGUGGCGGACGGGUGAGGAAUACAUCGGAAUCUACUUUUUCGUGGGGGAUAACGUAGGGAAACUUACGCUCAUACCGCAUACGACCUACGGGUGAAAGCAGGGGAUCUUCGGACCUUGCGCGAUUGAAUGAGCCGAUGUCGGAUUAGCUAGUUGGCGGGGUAAAGGCCCACCAAGGCGACGAUCCGUAGCUGGUCUGAGAGGAUGAUCAGCCACACUGGAACUGAGACACGGUCCAGACUCCUACGGGAGGCAGCAGUGGGGAAUAUUGGACAAUGGGCGCAAGCCUGAUACAGCCAUACCGCGUGGGUGAAGAAGGCCUUCGGGUUGUAAAGCCCUUUUGUUGGGAAAGAAAAGCAGCAGGUUAAUACCCCGCUGUUCUGACGGUACCCAAAGAAUAAGCACCGGCUAACUUCGUG
rnacentral:rRNA from 1 species